AAUCAACGCUGGCGGCGUGCCUAACACAUGCAAGUCGCACGAGAAAGGGGAGCAAUCCCUGAGUAAAGUGGCGCACGGGUGAGUAACACGUGAAUCAUCUACCUCCGAGUGGGGAAUAACCUAGAGAAAUCUGGGCUAAUACCGCAUAACACUUACGAGUCAAAGCAGCAAUGCGCUUGGAGAGGAGUUCGCGGCCGAUUAGCUAGUUGGCGGGGUAAUGGCCCACCAAGGCGAUGAUCGGUAUCCGGCCUGAGAGGGCGCACGGACACACUGGAACUGAAACACGGUCCAGACUCCUACGGGAGGCAGCAGUGGGGAAUUUUGCGCAAUGGGGGAAACCCUGACGCAGCAACGCCGCGUGGAGGAUGAAAUAUCUUGGUAUGUAAACUCCUUUCGAUGGGGAAGAUUAUGACGGUACCCAUAGAAGAAGCCCCGGCUAACUUCGUGCCAGCAGCCGCGGUAAUACGAGGGGGGCAAGCGUUGUUCGGAUUUAUUGGGCGUAAAGGGUGCGUAGGCGGUUUGGCAAGUCUUAUGUGAAAUCUUCGGGCUCAACCCGAAGUCUGCAUAAGAAACUGCCG
rnacentral:rRNA from 1 species